rnacentral:rRNA from 1 species
CAGUCGCCACGGUAAUACGGAGGGAGCUAGCGUUGUUCGGAAUUACUGGGCGUAAAGCGCACGUAGGCGGUUAUUCAAGUCAGAGGUGAAAGCCCGGGGCUCAACCCCGGAACUGCCUUUGAAACUAGAUGACUGGAAUCUUGGAGAGGUCAGUGAAAUUCCGAGUGUAGAGGUGAAAUUCGUAGAUAUUCGGAAGAACACCAGUGGCGAAGGCGACUGACUGGACAAGUAUUGACGCUGAGGUGCGAAAGCGUGGGGAGCAAACAGGAUUAGAUACCCGUGUAGUCCCUGUCUCUUAUAC